GAUCAUUACUGAUUUGCUUAAUUGCACCACAUGUGUUUUUCUUUGAAACAAACUUGCUUUGGCGGUGGGCCCAGCCUGCCGCCAGAGGUCUAAACUUACAACCAAUUUUUUAUCAACUUGUCACACCAGAUUAUUACUAAUAGUCAAAACUUUCAACAACGGAUCUCUUGGUUCUCGCAUCGAUGAAGAACGCAGCGAAAUGCGAUACGUAAUAUGAAUUGCAGAUAUUCGUGAAUCAUCGAAUCUUUGAACGCACAUUGCGCCCUCUGGUAUUCCGGAGGGCAUGCCUGUUUGAGCGUCGUUUCUCCCUCAAACCGCUGGGUUUGGUGUUGAGCAAUACGACUUGGGUUUGCUUGAAAGACGGUAGUGGUAAGGCGGGAUCGCUUUGACAAUGGCUUAGGUCUAACCAAAAACAUUGCUUGCGGCGGUAACGUCUACCACCGUAUAUUUUCAAACUUUGACCUCAAAUCAGCUCCCU
rnacentral:misc_RNA from 1 species